GGAUAGCUGUUUGGUAGUUUUUAUCAUUACUUUUUCUGUUAUAGCUAUUACUGGAUGCUGAGUAAUAUGUUCCAUGACUUUGCUGUGCCUUUGUAAUUAAUAUCUCAACUUUUUUCCCUUAAAAAAAUGCAUUUUGUGUUUGUUUAUGGCUGCAUUGUCUCAAUUGCAUUUUAUAUCAUACUUAGAUACUCCAUGUUGUCCUUAUGAUCAAAAGAGUCUUGUCUUUGGUCAGUUUUGCUGCUAGUAGUAUUAACUUAAUGGCCAUUUGCAUCUUUUUGAGCAUUAGACCUUUUCUUUUGCAAAUCUGAGGUUUUGCAUGAAUGGUCUGACAAAGGAGUUUCUUUGAGGAGUGGGCAAAGGGCUGGUGUGCCAUAAGAUGGAGAUGUCAUUCUUAAUGUAGAAUAAAACUAUAAAAGUUUCGAGGUAGGGGAGGGGUUCGUGUGGGGAGGCGGAGGGGUUUUUGGUGUGGAAUGGGGAGAGGGGACAGGAGGAACCAGCAUUGGAGGGGAAGGAGGUGGAUGAGGUGGUGCUGAAGGAGGUAGAGAAUGAGGAGGAGGAUAGAACACUGGGGGGCGGAGGUGGUGCCAUGAACACCACCAAGCAUCUGUGGGCGGGGGGCUGUGGGAGAACAAAUAUAUCUUAAUACAUGUUCAAGAAAAAGAAAGGCACAUUUUGUUAUUUUGUAAGAAGCAGCGCACACAAAAUGACUUGCAAAAAAUGGUACCAAUAAGUUGAGUUGGUAAAGUUGCUAGGAGUUGGAAGUUGGUGAAUUAAGUUGAUCUCACCUUUGGCCCAAUUUCAGUUGGCUAUGACUUAUUCCCCUUAUCACCUAUGAACCUAUCACCUUUCCCCAAUUGUUUAAUUUUAGAAAGUUAAAAUCUUUGAAUGUAAAGGAUUUGAAAAAUUGUUGUCUUAAUCUUGAAAAUUUUUUAAAGCAUAGUGAAUAUUCUGAUAUUGAUGGGCUUGAUCUAUUUUCAGAAUGAAAAGUUUUAAAAGAAGUUUUACAAAGAUUUGAAAAAUUGUUGUCUUAAUCUUGAAAGUUUUAAAAGAAGUUUUACAAACAGAAACCAGUACCCCUAUUGAUACUUUAAGUUUUAUAAAAAAAUAGAUUUUUUUCCAAAUGCAUGCGUUGCUUAUAGGAUAUUGUUAACAAUACCUGUAAUAGUUGCUUCUGCUGAAAGAAGUUUUUCAAAAUUAAAGUUGAUAAAAUCUUAUUUGCGGUCAACUAUUUCAUAAGAAAGAUUAAAUGGAUUAGCUAUAUUAUCGAUUGAAAAUAGUAUUUUAAUGAAUCUUGAGUACAAAAGUUUGAUUAGUAAUUUUACAUCUCAAAAAGCUACACAAAUUAUUUUUAAAUAAAAUUUUAAAGUAUUUUACACUUAUUAAAAUUUUUUUAUCAUUUUUUUUAAAAAAAAGCCUCCUUUAAUGAGUUCGCCUUCGGCCUCCAAAUGCAUUGGGCCACCCCUGGAACAGAGACAACCCCUAAAUGAUUGCUUAAUAUGCUUGUAAUUUUUCCAUUAUGACUCAUAUGAAAUAAAAAUGUUCCAGGGGAUAUGCUUGGUGAUACAUGUUGUCUCUUAUGUACUUGGUUAUUUCCAUCUAGCAUGAUCUUCCAGUUUUUUUUUUUUUUUCGUAGUUAUAGAUGUUGCAUACCAGAGAUUUUUCUGUAAAAGUGGUUUAUGGUUGUACCAAAUCCAAGUUAGUAAUUCCUAGUAGGUGAAAUAAACCAAACCUCUUUGGUUUAAAGUUUAGUCUUAUAUAGCAGCCAUUACCCUUGGUUGGGGAGCUAGGUUAUGACCGUGGAUGCUGCAGCUUAUUAAUUGAAAUAGCCUGGUUUGCAAUUGUGUCAAAGAACAAGUUUGUCUCUCUGAUAGUUGCCUCCUCUUCCAUUGCUUGUGAUCCAAGUCCAAGGAGGCAUUGCGCUUCUCCCAGUACAAAAUUCAGAAAACUGCAAUCUUUAUGUAUGUUUCUGAUUGACAGCAUUCUAUUUGUUCAGAAUGGCACUCUUCAACCUUCUUGUCUAUAGGUCAAGUCAAUGGGCAUGUUCAGUCACUUUCUGUGGCAACCAAGGCACAAAUGGGCAAAUUGGUGGACCCAUUUAUUGUUUUGAUAUGGCUUGAUUUUUUUUUUUUUAAAAAAAAAUCUGCAUUAGAGCUUUAAUCAAUAGCAUAUUGUUACUUUGAUUCUGUAUAUCAUAGUUGAACCUUCUCAGCUGCUUUCUUUCAUAUAUGAGAUUACCAAAA